UCCGGGGGGAGCAAGCGUUGUUCGGAUUUCCUGGGCGUAAAGGGCGCGUAGGCGGCCAGCACAAGUCAGUUGUGAAAUCUCCGAGCUUAACUCGGAAAGGUCAACUGAUACUGUGCGGCUAGAGUGCGGAAGGGGCAACUGGAAUUCUUGGUGUAGCGGUGAAAUGCGUAGAUAUCAAGAGGAACACCUGCGGCGAAGGCGGGUUGCUGGGCCGACACUGACGCUGAGGCGCGAAAGCCAGGGGAGCGAACGGG
rnacentral:rRNA from 1 species